UCCUCGGUAGUAUAGUGGCCAGUAUUCCCGCCUGUUACGGGGGCGACCGGGGUUCGAUUCCCCGCCGGAGAG
rnacentral:tRNA from 1 species